rnacentral:tRNA from 1 species
GCGCCUGUAGCUCAACUGGAUAGAGCGUCAGCCUCCGGAGCUGAAGGUUCCGCGUUCGACUCGCGGCAGGCGCACCA